AUUACAGAUACAGAAUGAUGUCAGUGAUGCAGUGAAUGCAAUUUUUCAUCACAGCUUCGCCCUUCUUUUCUCUUGCUGAAUCUGAGAAGUAGAAUCAGAAGACAAGGUCAAGUUCAUGCAGGGACAAUGCUCCGACGACGUUAUCGCAUAGAUGGAAAUCCACUGUGUUCGGGGGGAAGACUGGGCUCAUUUUAUUAGCCUUAUUGGCCAGUGGCCUUGUGCACUCCCACUUUUGAGGAUGCUUUUUGACAGUUGCUUGUUAGUUUAUGUGUUCAUUUGAGACAGGGUCUAGCUCUGUUGCCCAGGCUGGAGUGCAGUGACGCCAUCAUAGCUCACUGCAGCCUAGAACUCCUGGCCUCAAGUCAUCCUCCUUUGUCAGUCUCCCAAAACGCUGGGAUUACAGGCGUGAGCCAUCACACUCAGCUGACAGCUGCUUGUUAAUCAUGGUUCUUGCACUGAAUAACCUUUCUAGUUAGUGAGUGAGGCAUAGAAGGCAGGCUUGAGGACUCACAAAUUGCCCCACCUACACCCCCACCAAAAGCAACACAAUCUCUCCUAAUUCGAUUGACACCCUCCACACACCCAGCUUGGCUUCAGGGAAGGAAAAUGGGCUCCUGCCAUACAAUCUCCAUGCAACAACUCCUGCCAAAUGCAACACAGACCAUAAUGUCAUUUAUAAUUUGAAUUGUACCAGUUUAGACAUUUAAAAUAUCUCACGUAUUCAUUGUUACAUUCAUCUUCGUUUUUCUCCAUUUCUAUUUUUGGCAAUCCUCUAAUUUCUUGUUCUCUUAAGUAAAAAGGAACAAAAAAAUAACAACAAAAGAAAGCUCUUCAAAAAUACUUGGAUUCCGGUAUUUGUGUGUGGUUUCAAUAGGGAAGCUUUUUUUAAACUACUUGGACUAGAACAGAACAAAAUAUAUGAGUUUGGGGGAAAAAGACCACAACAGGGGUGUGUGUGAGAGGCAGGUGCUGGGGGAGAGGCCUCAAACAGCAGAAAAGCUUUGAAGCCCUAUAGGGCACUGACCUGCAAGGACUAAGUUUGAACAAUUGUGUGGGAAGUUUGGGGGUUACUAAGCUAGCUUCGUAAUGUAACUUCUUUCCCCUCUUUCCUUUUUUGACAAUAGCAUUCCUUUCUCCAUUUCUGUUCUGUUAUUUUUUUAACACAUCUAAAAUGACAUAAAACAAACAUAAUACACAGGCACACACCUGCACUCACAUACACAAACACACAAACUUCUGUGAGUUCCACAGAGGCC
rnacentral:lncRNA from 1 species